AGAGUUUGAUCCUGGCUCAGAGCGAACGCUGGCGGCAGGCCUAAUACAUGCAAGUCGAGCGCACCUUCGGGUGAGCGGCGGACGGGUGAGUAACGCGUGGGAACGUGCCCUUUGGUACGGAACAACUGAGGGAAACUUCAGCUAAUACCGUAUGUGCCCUUCGGGGGAAAGAUUUAUCGCCAUUGGAGCGGCCCGCGUUGGAUUAGGUAGUUGGUGAGGUAAAGGCUCACCAAGCCUACGAUCCAUAGCUGGUCUGAGAGGAUGAUCAGCCACACUGGGACUGAGACACGGCCCAGACUCCUACGGGAGGCAGCAGUAGGGAAUCUUGCGCAAUGGGCGAAAGCCUGACGCAGCCAUGCCGCGUGAAUGAUGAAGGUCUUAGGAUUGUAAAAUUCUUUCACCGGGGAAGAUAAUGACGGUACCCGGAGAAGAAGCCCCGGCUAACUUCGUGCCAGCAGCCGCGGUAAUACGAAGGGGGCUAGCGUUGCUCGGAAUUACUGGGCGUAAAGGGCGCGUAGGCGGACAGUUUAGUCAGAGGUGAAAGCCCAGGGCUCAACCCUGGAAUUGCCUUUGAUACUGGCUAUCUUGAGUUCGGGAGAGGUGAGUGGAACUCCGAGUGUAGAGGUGAAAUUCGUAGAUAUUCGGAAGAACACCAGUGGCGAAGGCGACUCACUGGCCCGAUACUGACGCUGAGGCGCGAAAGCGUGGGGAGCAAACAGGAUUAGAUACCCUAGUAGUCC
rnacentral:rRNA from 1 species